UACGUAGGUGGCAAGCGUUGUCCGGAAUUAUUGGGCGUAAAGCGCGCGCAGGCGGUUUCUUAAGUCUGAUGUGAAAGCCCACGGCUCAACCGUGGAGGGUCAUUGGAAACUGGGGGACUUGAGUACAGAAGAGAAGAGUGGAAUUCCACGUGUAGCGGUGAAAUGCGUAGAGAUGUGGAGGAACACCAGUGGCGAAGGCGACUCUUUGGUCUGUAACUGACGCUGAGGAGCGAAAGCGUGGGGAGCGAACAGG
rnacentral:rRNA from 1 species